CAGCAGGAAAUCCCCUGUUGGUCAGAAUUGCAACAAAUCUCACAAUACUGUCGAUUCCGGGAAGCGGAUCCAUUGAUUCAGCGUUCAAGCUUUUCGAUAGCCUUUGAAUAGAAGGACACAUUCCUCAUCCUUCUUUGUUUCAAAGGAUUCUUUUAACCACUUUUGGGACCAUGGAUUCACUUUCGAGCAAUCAGGGUGAAGCAAAAAAUGCCGGUUAAAAGGACGUGUCUAAAAAGUCUCCGAAACUAACUUUUAGAGCACAACAGGGAUGGAAGCAGAAGGACGAGAUCAAUUGACCGUGUGAUAGUAAGCCACUGCUGGCACACUUUUUUGAUACUAUUUUACGCAGGAUUUUUUCUCCUCAGGCGUCAUAAACGGGAGCCUCGGUAUUGCAUGGUUUUGAUUGUUUAUUGGAUGGCAUGGACCUUAAACGAUACUCAACUUACUACCAGCCGGUUUGUCAUGGAUCACGCAUUAUCAAGAAUUUGCAAGCACAGAUGCAUCGUACCUGAAGCUAUAAAUACCCAUGUUUUUUAAGCGUCUAUCCCUGCGGUGUCAAGAGUCUCAUCUUCUCGUUCUGGAAGGCGAUCCUAACACGCUGAUUCGCUGACACAGUAGUUUCAUUUUAGAUCUAUUUUUUAAAAGCUAUCGCGGUACAAGAGAUCGCGGAGCGUUUCAUUACUCUUCAAACGAGCCCAUGAGCCAUGCCCCGCCGCGAAACAAGAAGAUGUAAGAAAUGCCAAGAGAUGCUUCCUAUUUUCUGCGGCAACGAUCAAUUCCCAGAUUGGGGGUGGCUUGUGCCAAAAUGAUGGCAAAAGCUGAUGAUGAGCGCAGCAUCUCAGCUCAGCUAUUUGGUUCAGUUAGUUGCCUAGACAUUUCUGCAAAGUAAAAUCCAAGUUGUCAAGAAGCGAUCAGAGAGUCAAGAUGCAAGCUCAACUACAAAGUAUGGUUGAUCUUUUUUAAAACGAGUCAAGGAUAUCAACCUCCACAUUAUUCCGGAACUUUCUUAUAUUCGAUGAAAAUACUUCUAGGUAGAAAGAAACAAGUCAGGAGCCUCAGAAGAACUCCGUUUUUCUUGAUCUACUUGCUUGAAGGGGAUAAUAAUCAAGAUGAUUUUUAAAAAAAGAUUGAGGGGCCUCAAGAAUGGGAGAAACUAAAAUUCAGCCAGCUGGAAUUUCUACAAUCGCAUUGGGGAAGAGGUC
rnacentral:sRNA from 2 species